AUGUCACGAGGAAGCAGCCAAUCGUGGCGGGGCCGCGCCGCCCGCCCCGGGCCGGUCACCCGGCGGCGACGCGCGGGGGUCAGCACCCGAGGCGUCGGAGACCCCGGCGGUCCGCGCCCCUCUCGGGGCCGGCCUGCAGCUCCCCGCCCGGGCACAGAGGGCGCCGCCCACGGCCAGCGGCGCAGGGGAGCAGGGGGCGCUGCCCUCCGGGGGGUGGGGGUGUCCGCGUUGUCAUGGGGACGCGGCGCCCCCUCGCGGGCUGGGGAGGGAGCUGGCAGCCGGGUCCGGCCGCUCUCCCGCCUCCGCCCUGACCGUACUCCCGGGACCCUGAGCUAUUUUCGCGCCUCUCCGGGACCUCAGCGCCCUGCGUGGCCCCACUCGCGGUUUGGCCGCGAGGCACAGGAGUCUGACCCCAGCGGGAGGCUACGGGUGGGUGGGGCGGGCUGCGCCGCCAGGGAUCCGUCGGGGCCGAGGUCCGGGAGCUCCAGCCGCGCCGCUGCGUGCCGGCCGGGCCGCCCGCGAGGAGGGGGGCCGUCGGGGCCUGGGGAAGCGCAGGAGCGGGUGGACCGGAGGGGGUCGUCCGGGGAUAGAAGAGCCCACCGCGGACCACUCGCCCGCACCCGCUCGGCUCCCUGCUUGGCGUUCCGGGCCGGGAAAGGGGCGCGCCCCCGCUCUCCCAGUCCCGGGAUGGGACGCGCUUCCAGUCCAGCCGCAGCCUGGACCGUGAGUUCACCGCCGCCUGUGAGGGACAGUCGGUUGCCCAAGGUCGCCGGGGCCGGAGCCCGGGACAAGACCCCGGAGAGCGGGCAGCCAAUCUCAGAGGUCGCUAGGAACCGCAAGGGCGGUAGCCUCAGGACACGGGGCCUCGCCCAGGCUGGGCCGACAUUGGGGCGGCUUCAGCACCUCGGAGAGCUCCCCGCGCCCGGGCACAGCGGCCUCUGCCGCCUGAUCCCGCUCCAGCGCUUCUUCCUCCGAGAGCGCCCUUCCAGGGGGCUGCCGGGGUCGGACGCUCCCCACUGCGCCCGGGACCGAGGCCUGUAA
rnacentral:lncRNA from 1 species